CUGUUGUGAUGAUUAAAUGUUAGCUGCUGCACACAUAGUUUGCUCCUGCAUUCCAGUGCCCUAAACCUGUCACUAACAGAAAUCUGAUCUGACAUUCAAGACCCUGCGUGCAACAAUCCUAAAUAAUCUUUCUAGCUUUAUUUCCUACUUCUUGUCUUAUGCAUUUCUCCCCUACUGACUGAAUCACUACCACAGACAUAUUGAUCUCCACCUCUAACCCUUGACCAUUCAGGCUCUUCAAUUUUAUGUUCCUCUUUCCUGCCUAACACCAUCUGUCAAAGAUUCUAUUCUGUUUUUAAGACCUGGCUUCUUAUCCCUCCACAAAGUAUUUCCUGACUUCACAGUCCAAAUAAAUUGCUUCUGUCUCAAUUCAUAGUUCUAUUAUGACACUCUUCAAAUCAAGCUGUACAUAUGCAGUGUACAACUUUUCCUUUUUUCAGAUAUAAAUUUUUCUUCUCUUUUUAAAAAUAAAUGUUCUGGGGACAUAGUCUUAGUGAUCAGAUCCUAUAGCUUGUUCAGAGAGGCACAUAAUAGGAAUUCAAGUAUUGUGAAAAAAAUCACCUGGAAUUUUAACAUCUAAUCAACCAAAUAGUUACAUAG